AAUUAAGAGGAUUAGGGCUCAAACUUCAAACAGACGGCCUCUGCCCUCAGAAGUUCCGACUCAGGCUCACCCUCACUCCAGCGGCGCCGGCGACAUUCAUUCGCAGCACAGGCAGCACCGGCCACUGGCGUCCCUAGCUCUCUCUCCCUCACGUCUCGAACGCACCGGAAUAAGAUAUCAUCCCUCCCUCUCUCAUAGCUCUCUCUCCCUCUCUCUCUCUCGUAGCACAGCCCAGAGCAAAGAGAGCACCGGCGGCGACGACUCGGCUCUCUCCCUCCCACCGGAGUACCUGGCUCUCUCUCCCUCACAGCUGCGAAGGUGCUCUCUCUCUCUCUCCCCCUCUCUCAGCUCUGCGGCGGACGGCGGUGAACGACGUCCUCUUCGUUCUUUAUUUGGCUGUUAAUUAUCCUCAGACUUGGAUUGGGUUCGUGCACACACAAAACCCUUAGCAGCUCAAACCCGCGGGUUCGGGAACUGCGAUUUACUCCCUCCGGCCACCGACGUUCACAGAUAUACCUUCUGCUCAGUAAGAGAGCUUGAUUUAGGUAACAUUUACCAAAGUCAUAUUGGACCGUCUCUCUGCAGGUUUGCCCUGCAACCCUGGGUUUCAUAACGUGGCACUGGCAUUUCCAUUGGGAAUGAUGAAUAAUCCAAUAUUUAGGCCUUUGAUACCAUUAUGUCACACUACUUGUUCCUUGACCCCAGCUUAUCGUCUCUUUUCGCAAUACAAUCUCUUUUUUUCUCAGCCUACCUUUCUAUCCAAUGCGCUGCAGAAUUAUAUCAAUUCUGAUAACCCUUACCAUGGCCAAAAGAUCCAUUCCCAGAUUCUGAAAUCUGGCUUUGUUCCAAACACUAACAUCUCCAUAAAGUUACUGAUAUUGUAUCUUAAAUGCAAUUGUUUAAGAUAUGCACGCCAGAUGUUUGAUGGUUUACAUGAUAAAACUUUAACUGCAUAUAACUAUAUGAUCAGUGGCUAUCUCAAACAAGGGCAAGUAGAAGAGUCACUUGGCUUGGUGCAUAGGCUUUUAGUGUCUGGUGAAAGGCUUGAUGGUUUUACUUUUUCAAUGGUGUUAAAGGCAUCUACUUUGGGUUGUGGUGUUCCUAUGAUUAGUGAUCUAGGCAGAAUGGUACAUGCCCAUAUAAUCAAAUCUGAUGCUGAGAAAGAUGAAGUUCUUUAUACAUCACUAAUUGAUUCUUAUGUUAAGAAUGGGAGAGUUGCUUUUGCUAGGACUGUGUUCGAUGUGAUGUCUGAGAAGAAUGUGAUAUGUUCUACGUCCCUCAUCUCUGGUUACAUGGAUCAAGGCUCCACCAAGGAUGCAGAAUGUAUAUUUCGCAGGACAUUGAACAAGGAUGUAGUGGUGUUUAAUGCAAUGAUUGAAGGCUACAGUCGAACAGCUGAAUUUGCCAUGAAAUCUCUUGAUGUUUACAUUGACAUGCAGAGAAUGAACUUCAGGCCAAAUAUGUCUACAUUUGCUAGCAUAAUUGGUGCUUGCUCAAUGCUUGCAUCAUUUGAAAUUGGUCAACAAGUACAAAGUCAGCUGAUGAAGACUCCAUUUUUUAUGAACAUUAAAUUAGGAAGUGCUCUUAUAGACAUGUAUUGCAAAUGUGGAAGAAUUGUAGAUGCCCGAAGAGUUUUUGACCACAUGCUUGAGAGGAAUGUAUUUACAUGGACAUCCAUGAUUGAUGGAUAUGGUAAGAAUGGGUUUCCUGAUGAAGCACUUGAGCUGUUCGAAACGAUGCAGAAGGAUGACUUUAUUGUACCCAAUUUUGUAACAUUCCUCAGUGCUCUCUCAGCUUGUGCACAUGCUGGGCUUGUAGAAAAGGGUUGGGAGAUCUUUGAGAGAAUGAACAAUGAGUACAUGGUAAAACCAGGGAUGGAGCACUAUGCUUGCAUGGUUGAUAUGUUAGGACGUGCAGGGAGGCUGAAUCAGGCAUGGGAAUUUGUCAUGAGGAUGCCUGAGAAGCCCAAUUCUGAUGUGUGGGCUGCUCUACUUAGUUCAUGCAGACUCCAUGGUAAUGUAGAGAUGGCAAAAUUAGCUGCAGAUGAGCUUUUUAAGCUAAAUUCUGAUGGAAGGCCGGGGGCAUAUGUUGCACUAUCCAAUACUUUGGCUGAUGCUGGGAAAUGGGAUAGUGUUAGUGAGCUUAGAGAAAUAAUGAAAGAGAGGGGAAUAUCAAAAAACACUGCUUGCAGUUGGGUUGGAGCUGACAGUGUUUAUUAAUCCACACAUGCAGGUGCAAAGUUGCACAAGAAGGAAUAUAUCUUACUUUUGUGAUGCUCGUUUCAAAUUUGUCACGAUGAAAUUAAAAAGCAAAACCGAAAAGUGUGCCGUGGAAAAGAAGAGGAAAAGGAAGCUGGAAAAAAUUGUUGUCAUUGAGACAGAUAAUACAUUGAAUGCUGAAGUGGAUAAUGGAAUGCAAGUUGGAAAGGAGAAAAAGGAGAAAUCUUCUAUCAAUA